GGCCGAGUGGCGGAACUGGCAGACGCACGGGACUUAAAAUCCUGUAUCCGGAAACGGGUGUGUGGGUUCGAAUCCCACCUCGGCCA
rnacentral:tRNA from 1 species